GGAGAGAUGGCUGAGUGGCUGAUAGCUCUGGUCUUGAAAACCGGUAUAGCUCUAGGAACUAUUGAGGGUUCGAAUCCCUCUCUCUCCU
rnacentral:tRNA from 1 species